UAGGAGUCCCCCUGUAGUUGGGAGCACUAAGCCUCAGUGCUUAGUUCCAGCCCAGAUGGAGGAAUGGGGUCCAGAUGGAGCCUCCAGGCUGAAACCACUUGAUACCCAUGACAGGAAUCUACGAAGCCCUGGUGCUCAGUGCUGGAGGAGGGUGAGCUUCUUGGGAGAUUGAAAGACAAGAAAAGAGAGAAGAGACAUUGGAUGUGGAGAGGAGGGAAGGUAAGAUUGACAGCUGAUGUUACCUAAAGACAAUGGAAACCAGCAGACAGUGGAGCAAGCCCUCAGGAAACCACCUAGAAUCCCCAUCCAGCAAGAAAGCUUUCUGAUACUGGGGUGAAAUAAAGCACUCUUUGGCAUGACCUCUCCUGGAGGUCUUGGAGGUCUACAUGCCAGUCCUA